rnacentral:rRNA from 1 species
AUUCUCAAGACCAAUUUCGACGUAAACUGGUUCUUGUUAAUCGUUACCUUGAC